rnacentral:rRNA from 1 species
ACGCACGCUGGCGGCAUGCCUCACCCCUGCAAGUCGCACGAGACCUUCGGGUCUAGUGGCGCACGGGUGCGUAACGCGUGGGAACCUGCCCUUAGGUUCGGAAUAACUCCCCGAAAGGGGUGCUAAUACCGGAUAAUGUCUUCGGACCAAAGAUUUAUCGCCUUUGGAUGGGCCCGCGUUGGAUUAGCUAGUUGGUAGGGUAAAAGCCUACCAAGGCGACGAUCCAUAGCUGGUCUGAGAGGAUGAUCAGCACACUGGGACUGAGACACGGCCCAGACUCCUACGGGAGGCAGCAGUGGGGAAUAUUGGACAAUGGGCGAAAGCCUGAUCCAGCAAUGCCGCGUGAGUGAUGAAGGCCUUAGGGUUGUAAAGCUCUUUUACCCGGGAUGAUAAUGACAGUACCGGGAGAAUAAGCUCCGGCUAACUCCGUG